AAACAGUGGCUGAAAGCCUGACCUUGGAAGAGGUCUUACCUUUGAGUGCAAUUCUAAUAAAUGAUAUGAACAGCUUCGUAAGUGCUGGAAAGGUAAACCAUCAUAAAGCCAGUAACUAAGGCUCUAAGGUACGGAGUGUAAGAAGUCUUUUUGCGUGUCUAUUUUUUCAGCAACUGAAACCUCAAAAGGCGGCUCCCGCCACCGGAGAAAAAAAAGAGCGAUUCAUCAUCUAACUGGGUUUAUCGAAACAAUCGCAGAAGGAUUAUCUUUGGAAGAAGUCCUUCCAUUAAGUGCUGUUCUGAUUAAUGAUAUCAACAGAUUCGUAGCUGCUGGAAAGGUAAACCAUCAUAAAGCCAGUAACUAAGGCUCUAAGGUAUCUCAGAACUCUUAGGAAUGGUUUCACAGUUUCCAUUAGAUUAUAUGCAUUUAGUGUGUCUUGGAGUUAUGAGAAGGUUGCAGAUGAAAGAGUGUGAAUAACGAGAGUGAGUGAGGAAAGUUUUCAGAAUGCGUGUAUGGAUAACAUAAAUUAUUUGCAGUUCACCUAUUCUUUCUUCACUGAUCGAUACCAACACAACCAG